GGAGGGGGCAAGCGUUACUCGGAAUUAUUGGGCGUAAAGGGCGCGUAGGCGGCCGUGUGCGUCAGAGGUGAAAUCCCCGGGCUUAACCCGGGAACUGCCUCUGAUACGGCAUGGCUUGAGUCCGGGAGAGGGGAGCAGAAUUCCCAGUGUAGCGGUGAAAUGCGUAGAUAUUGGGAGGAAUACCAGUGGCGAAGGCGGCUCCCUGGACCGGUACUGACGCUGAGGCGCGAAAGCGUGGGUAGCAAACAGGAUUAGAUACCCUGGUAGUCCACGCCGUAAACGGAUGGGUGCUUGGUGUCGGGGGUAUCGACCCCUCCGGUGCCGAAGCUAACGCAUUAAGCACCCCGCCUGGGGAGUACGGUCGCAAGGCUG
rnacentral:rRNA from 1 species